rnacentral:lncRNA from 10 species
CGCUAAGUUGGGGAGGGGCCCAGGCCUGCAGUGCCGCGGCCACCUGAAGCCUCGCGUCCCUCGCUGCCAGCCCGAGGGCUCAAUUCAGAGGGAAGGGGACAGACACCCAGACGGAAGGGGAAGCGGGGAGGAGGUGGAGAACUUCAGUUGGCAGGAAUAGAGGAAGACAUAAACGGAACCCUCUGUGCCUGCGCGUCAAGCCUCUUAUUUCUCGGCAUUAAGGUUCAGAUAGGUUUUGCUGUAUGGUGUCUUUGUGAUUUGUUUGUUUGUUUUUGAGACAGGGUCUCGCCGUGUCUGGAGUGCAGGGGCACGAUCACGGCUCACUGCAGCCUCAACUUCCUGUGCUCAAGUGACCCUCCCACCUCAGUAGUUCGGAGUAGCUGGAAUUACAGGCAUACGCCACCACACCCCGCUAAUUUUUUAUUUUUUUUGUAGACGGGUGGGAAGGGGAUCUCACUAUCUUGCCCAGGCUGGUUUCAAACUCCUGUACUCAAGCGAUCCUCCUGCCUUGGCCCCCCAAAGUGUUGGGAUUACAGAGCCACCGCGCCAGCAUAUAAUUCUCUCUUUGAACUCCUCUCAUCAUCACCCGUGAUGUCACGGUGUCUCUGAGAGCCAGCGGCCUCAGUGGAGGGGCAGGAUUGCAGUCCCUGACAAAAGGUCCCAGGAGGUUUGUCUACGUCGAUGCAUCUUAUUUUAUUCCACAUUUAGGGUGACAAUGAUAGCUUUUGUAAAAAGUACCUUCCCCGUUGCAGGGGGCCCUGGGGAGGACGUUUUACCUGCCCUUCCUCCCUCCCCCUUCCCACUCAUUCUCUUAAGGGCAGGUCCCAGCCUGGGCUCUGCCAUCAGCUGCUGUGUGCCUCCACAUGGACUUCUCGUGUCUCUAGGUCAUUGGCAUUCCUUCCUCCUCCUCCUCCUGGGAGUGGGGUGGAUUUCAGGCGGUGUCAAAGGCUCAACGGGGCUGCAACAGUUUUUUUUUUUUGAGACGGAGUUUCGCUCUUGUCGCCCAGGCUGGUGUGCAGUGGUGUGAUCUCAGCUCACUACAACCUCCGCCUCCCAGGUUCAAGCGAUUCUCCUGCCUCAGCCUCCCAAGUAGCUGGGAGUACAGGCACAUGCCACCACGCCCAGCUAAUUUUGUAUUUUUAGUAGAGAAGGGGCUUCACUAUGUUGGUCAGGCUGGUCUUGAACUCCUACCUCAGGUGAUCCACCUGCAUCGGCCUCCCAAAGUGCUGGGAUUACAGGCGUGAGCCACCGCACUGGGCUGGAAAGUCUUUUUGAGAUCUUCCUCCUCCUUCUCUCCCUUUUUCACAGAAGGGACAAACUAAGGUUGGGAAGCAGCAAGUCAUGCACCCUAGAUCCACCUGCCCACCCAGGCUCAAGGACCUCUGGCCUCUUGGCCCGCAGCCUUUGACUCCCUGGGGGUCCCAACCAGGGCUCCAUAGUCCACCCAGGCUUCAGUUCCAGCUGGGUUUAUACAGUGGUCUAAAGCCAACAGGCUUGAGAAGCUGCUAGGGUGGGAGCCUCGGGUGUGCUCAGGCCCGGCGGACUGCAGGCAGGCGCGCGCCAGCUUCUGGUAGGUCAUGCGCUUGCGGUUCCCCUUCU